AAAGUUGUUGCAGUUAAAAGCUCGUAGUUGGAUCUCGUUCCAGGCUGGCGUCCGACGCCUGUCGUUACUGCCUGCUCCGACUUACCUCCGUUUUCGCCCUUAGUGCUCUUGACUGAGUGUCUCGGUGCGCGAACGUUUACUUUGAAAAAAUUAAAGUGUCAAAGCAGCAAUAUCGCCUGAAUAAUGGUGCAUGGAAUAUGGAAUGGACCUCCGGUUCUUAUUUUGCUGGUUUUCGGAGCUCGAUUAAUGGUUAAGAGGGACUGACGGCAUUCGUAUUACGUGUUAGAGGUGAAAUUCUGAUCGCCGUAAGACGAACUACUCGAAAGCAUUUGCAAGCAUGUUUUCAUUAUCAAGAACGAGUCAGAGGUUCGAAGACGAUCAGAUACCGUCGUAGUUUGACCAUAACGAUGCCAACUAGGAUCCGCCGGAGUUGCUUCAAUGACUCGCAGGCAGCACUCAUCUAUGUAGUUUUUGGAGUACAU
rnacentral:rRNA from 1 species